GACGGGGGGGGCAAGUGUUCUUCGGAAUGACUGGGCGUAAAGGGCACGUAGGCGGUGAAUCGGGUUGAAAGUGAAAGUCGCCAAAAACUGGCGGAAUGCUCUCGAAACCAAUUCACUUGGGUGAGACAGAGGAGAGUGGAAUUUCGUGUGUAAGGGUGAAAUCCGCAAAUCUACGAAGGAAGGCCAAAAGCGAAGGCAGCUCUCUGGGUCCCUA
rnacentral:rRNA from 1 species